ACUGGGGUUACUUGGAUUCAUUCAGGGAAAGAGCUCUGCUCGCACUGAUUACUCUGCCAAAAGGAAAGAACAGGAGGUUAAAAAUAGACAACCCCAUUGAGUUUAUCAUGAGAGAGAGAGAGGAAAGAACGAGAGAGAAUAACCACACCCCUAGUAUGGUAACACUGAGUGCCUGUUAUUUUAGCCAUUAUCUUAAACGCAGAGGGCAGCUUCUAGCUCUCUUCCUAUCAGCUGAUGUUUGAUAGCAAAUGGAAAAAGAAUUACAUCCUGACAACCCAAAUUACUUUAGUCAUUGAAUCUAUACAGUAUGGUGGACUUUGAAACCAAGCAGUCAUUAACCAGGGUAUCAAUCUUUGCAAAGUUUUUGAAGUCUCCUUCAUGCAAAGAAAAUUCCCAAAAAUGUAUUUUAAAAAAAGUUCUGGUAUUUGGGGAUUAAGCCACAAAACUCUUUGAAACACAUUUUUAGAUUAAUCUGCUUUUCUAAAACGUACUGUGCUUUGAAAUGCUCACAUUUUCUCAGAGUCUCAAAUUUCUUAGGGACAGUUAAAAAAUAUUUAAGUGAGUAUUUCUGAAUAGAUAUUUACCAUUUCAGGGUUUCUUUGCAACCCUAUAUUCCACUGAACAGUAUUUUCAAGUUGAGUUAUCAUAACCACUAGGAAUUAAUAUACUUUGCUGUUACCUUUUAAUUGCAGCAGGAAAACUUUUAAUUUUUUAAGUUUAACAUUAUAUAUAUUCUGCUACACUUUUUUUAAAGGAUAUCAUUGUACUUCAGAUUUGAUUUUCAUUUUCUCCCACACCCUAGGCACGAAAAUUAUAGACAGCUUAAAUCAGAGCCCAAGAUUGGCAUAUUAAUCCUAUUGCUAGAAACUCAGCGUGUGUCACAAGUUGUCUGUGGUAUUAAACAGCAGCUGUUGGAUUCCCUGUCAAGGAACAGCUGAAAAUAACACUGAAGCUUAGGUCAGAGGUCAGAUGCAAACACAUCAGAGAUACUGACUCCAGAGUUGCUAGAGCCAUCGGAAAUCUCUGGAACAGAGCCAGAAAGGAGGAUAUAACAAUAAACAGAGUUAAAUGAGUCCACUCGCUAUUUAAGCCCUUAGCUCAAUUUAAAAGCAUGGUCAGGUUCCGGGCCAAUAUUCAGAAGACUAAGUCAGCACUAAUGCUUUUUCUGCCGAGGUUCUUGAUAGCAUUCUUGAACCAAAGGCAAAAUAGUGCUUUUACAUAUAUUUGGGUGUUCAGUAAUUAUUUUUGUUUCCAAGAGCAUGUCCUGUCUACACUGCAGUUAUAUAGCCAUGAGCCAGUUGCCUGCUGCUCCUAGGCUCUAGGAACUUCACCUGAGGCCAUGAGGGGAACAUUUGGAACGGGCCCAGGAGAGCAGAUGCCAAGAGACACCACGAUGGAGGAAUUUUUAUAGAUGGUUUCAUUUUAUGGUGGGGAUGGAGGGCUUGCAGAGAACCAACCUGACCUCUCUGUAAGGCUUGCCUCCAAGUUGAAGGCAGACUCCUUCUGCUUAUGCAAAUAGUUGGUUCAAACAAACCAAAACAAACUGAGCGAAACCCGUUUUCAGCUAAUUGCCCUCAAGAAGAAAUAGGAGUUGACAACUGUGUCACAUAAUCUCCACACCCUAAACUAAAAUGCCCAGGGGAGCCUUACUUAAGCCAUUGUGUACCCUGCCAACCAGAACAGCAUACAGUGCCCAGCACCCAAAAUACACAGUGCACUUUCCCCCAAAGUUAAUCCUAUUGUUAGAAACUCAGUGUGUAUCAGAAAUUCCAUACAGACCCUCAAGAGGCCAAGGGAACUUUUGUCAGCAGGCUGCCCAGACCACAGCUAGAAAAGAGUGGUUGUGUCCACAAAGCCCCACUUCUGAUGGAUGAUUGUAUAAAGGGUGUGGAGGGUGGUGUGGAAUGUGUGGAGUCAUAGGCCCACAGGAAGGAAGAAGGAGGAGAGUGGGGAGGAGAGAGAACAUUGUUGAAAGUCUGAUUAAUUCCAGGGCUUAAGACCAAAAGGAAUUUGAAAUACUUAUGAUUUUGCUGAAAGAUUAAUCCAGUGAUUCUGAAGCAAAAGUAGUGUCUUUUCUGUGUAUAGAUGACCUUUCUUUCUAUUCAAGAGAUGAAGCAGGUCCAGAGUACUGCACAGAAAAUAUUUUCUGUAUUGUUGGGCAUGAGCAAUAAUGCAAACCGCAUACAGGAAUGUCUGCACCCUCAGCAUAUUGAAUUGGAGCUACAGCUGCCAGCCUAUACCACAGCCAUAGCAAUGUGGGAUGCAAGACACAUUUGUGACCUACACCACAGCUCACAGCAAUGCAAUAUUCUUAACUCAUUGAGCUAGUCCAGGGAUCAAAACUCGUCCUUCUGGAUACAAGCUGGAUUCAUUACUGCUGAGCCACAAUGGGAACUCCUUUGUGUGUGUGCGUGUGCGCUUUUCUUUUUUUUCUUAAUUUAGCUAAAGCUUUAUCAGUUUUUAUCCUUUCAAAAAGACAGCUUAGUUGGGUUAACUUUUGCUACUAUUUUUAUGGACUCUAUUUCAUGUAUUUCGCUGUGAUCUUUGCUAUUUUCUUCCUUUUCUUAACUUUGACCUAGUUUGUUCCUUUUCUUCUAGUUUCUUGGAUGUAAAAUAAAGUUGCUUAUCUGAUAUCUUUUUCUCUUCUUAUCCAGAUGUUUAUCACUAUAAAUGUUCUUUUUAUAACCGUUUUUUGCAGAAUUCUAUAAAUUUGGGUAUGGUAUGAUUCCACUAUUGUUUCAGGGCAUUUUAAGAUUUCUCUUUUGAUUUCUUCUUUGACUCCGGAGAAUCUUCCUCCUGCUUUUAAAAUCACUCUUGUCUACCUUGGUUGCAGAUCCUUGAGCAAGAUGGGAGGGUGAUUUGGCUGUAUCACCAGUCACUCAUAGAUCACAGGUAGAUUUGGCUGAGUGAGCCAAACAGGCCUGGUCAAAUAGGUGCUAAAACAAAUAAUAUGGUUAAUCUGAGUUAUAACUCAACUCAGAAAAUUUGAGUUAUUACUACAACUACAGUAAUGAUACCCCCUCACCAUUAGCAUCCACAGACUGGUUAGGCUUGAGGACAUAUGAGUUAUAAAAUAUCUGGACAGUCCCCUUAAUUUUGUCCUUCAUGGCUGUCAGGAAGCCUGGAUAAGAAACAUGGUUGAAACAAAGGUGUGUUUUCAUCAAAUUCAAGUAUAAAUUCAAACUCAUUUCUUUAAAAACAAAACUUUGAGAUUAACAAAUUAGAAGGAAGCUUCUUGGUUCAGAAUAUAUUCUUCAGAAUAAUGAGUAGUGUGUGUUUUAUUUAGAAUCUCUCCACAGAAUUCCAUCUCCUAAAUACAUUUAGAUGUGAAAAAUUUGCAGAAUAAAAUAGACCAGUUCAUGGAGACAUGAAGUCUUUAUUUUGACUAAGAAUAGACACUGGCAAGAUUACUUAUCUUCAGGAUUUGGAGGAACCCUUCAAUCCAGGACUGUCUUCAUUAUCAUCAACCUGCAGCAAGAGUUAUCACGGAUACCUCCAUACAGAGUAUCUUCUUUGCUUGUCCAUUCUUAAAAUGGAGUUUUGUCCUACACAAAAUAUUUUGCAUGAAAUGAGACUUGAAGAGGAUGUAAGCAGAUUUCAAUGCACAUUAUCUUAUAUAUCUCAGACAUUAAGACUUCAAUGAGACUGUUUUAUAUCAUUUUGAAAAUAAAAAAAUAUUGAUUUGUUUUAAAAUUCUGUCCUCCCAGCUUUCUAUAUGUAUUUUUUCCUACUUUAUCUUGUUGCAAUAGAUAUUUUAGAACAUAAUUGCUAAACAUUUUAUAUUUAGCUCUUUAAAUAUACACAGAAAAAAGUAACAAAUUUUUACUUUAAACAGAAAUGGUAACAGAAAAAAGUAACAAAUAUAAGAAAAUUAUGAUGAUCUACUAAUUCUGCAUUUCAAAGAUAAACUUAUUCAAAUUCUAUAAAAGGUUAUUUUUAUUUAUAAAAUGGAUCAUAUUAUUUCUACAGUUUUGGAGUCUGCCUUUGCCUUUUUUUAACCUAGUAAUAUAUCAUAAACAUCUUUCCUUUUCAAUAGACUUUUACCACUUUUAACAAAUAUACUUCUAUAAGAACAUAAUAUUCUUAGAGGAUAAAUUUAUUCAAACCUUUGUGUUAUUUUCAAUUUUUUGUUCUUAUAAAGAUUUUUAUAACUGAAUCUUUUUAGGACUAGAUUCUUUAAGUGGAAGGUAAACCUCCAAAGGUAGCUAAGUUAUAGCUGGUAUAGCACAAAGCUAUUUAAUUAAGGAGUAUGAUUCAUUAACCAUUACAUUUUAUUUUACCAUGGUCACAAACUAGCUUUUAUGCUUACUUUUCCCCCAGUUUUUCCAUCUAUGCUUUGUUAGAUAAUUUUGACUUAUCACUGUAAUUCUCUUCCUCUCAGCCCUAGCAAAAACUGAGUAUUUCUUGCACUCAUUUUAACUUUCAUGUAAGAAUUUAUGCUUAUGAGAAUACUUGUGGGUAGAUUUUAUGCAGAAAGUAGAACAACUUUGUGGAUGCAUCAAGUGUCUAAUGGGAAAUCUAGAGAUGAGUUUGGAUACACUAACUAGUAAAAUGAAAAUAAAGGUACAUUCUCACA